rnacentral:rRNA from 1 species
UACGUAGGGGGCUAGCGUUGUCCGGAAUCAUUGGGCGUAAGAGCGUGUAGGCGGUCCGGUAAGUCCGCUGUGAAAGUCGGGGGCUCAACCCUCGAAUGCCGGUGGAUACUGUCGGGCUAGAGUGCGGAAGAGGCGAGUGGAAUUCCUGGUGUAGCGGUGAAAUGCGCAGAUAUCAGGAGGAACACCAAUUGCGAAGGCAGCUCGCUGGGACGUUACUGACGCUGAGACGCGAAAGCGUGGGGAGCAAACAGG